rnacentral:rRNA from 1 species
AGCAGCCGCCGCGGUAAUACAGAGGGUGCGAGCGUUAAUAGGAUUUACUGGGCGUAAAGCGUGCGUAGGCGGCUUCUUAAGUCGGAUGUGAAAUCCCUGAGCUUAACUUAGGAAUUGCAUUCGAUACUGGGAAGCUAGAGUAUGGGAGAGGAUGGUAGAAUUCCAGGUGUAGCGGUGAAAUGCGUAGAGAUCUGGAGGAAUACCGAUGGCGAAGGCAGCCAUCUGGCCUAAUACUGACGCUGAGGUACGAAAGCAUGGGGAGCAAACAGGAUUAGAUACCCCAGUAGUCCCUGUCUCUUAUAU